AACUUGAAUCCAAUCAAAACACUACCCUCACAAAUCCCCCCGGUCCUAUAAACAAACGGUCUCUUUCUCUCUCUCUAGCUCUCUGAGAUCUUCUUCGCCUAAAAUUCACAACCCUCUCUCUCUCUAGAACUCGCAUUCUUGCUGUGAUUGUCCUCUCUCUCUAUCUCUCUUCAAUUAUUUCUUGUUUUUUUAUUUAAUUUCUUGUUUUUGAUUCAAUUAUUUCUUGUCAAACGAUCCAAAUAUUCCCCCAAAAUUGCAAAGACUUCAAGCCCUCUUCGACAUCUGAAGCAGAGUUAAAAAUUAAAACCCUAGGGCGAUUACAACCCAGUUGGACAGUGACGUGAGCGACAAAGAAUGUACUCCAGAUUUGCUACCAAACUCGUCGAGUGAGAUUCUGAUUUGAUUGGUGAGAGUAGCGCGUCGAACGGACUCAACAAGGUUCUCCAUGUCAGAUAGUUCUUCCAGUUUUCCAGAAGAUCACUGAUUUGACUACCAAGUGAUUGGAAGCAUUUGAUUUGAAGAGAGAGCAUACUGCCUUGUCUGAUCAAGUCAAGCUCACUACGAAUUCCUUUCCGGGACCUGCAGUUCUAAACACACCUUUCAGCUGCUAAGUGAGCCUUUUGUUUUAAUCACUCACAAUUAUUUUCUAACUUUCCUUCUCUCUUUGAUUGUAAUUUGUUGUUUCUGGAUAUCCAAAUCCAUAAGCGUCAUCGGAAUUGCCCUGGUAUGCUUUCUGAAAACUCACUUUAUAACUGCUGUUUACUGUGACUGUGCUUAGAAACAUGCAUAGGAGUUAACUGCUUGUCUAAUUUGACUGUCCUCUGAGUUAAAUUCGAUUGAUUUGAACUGCUUAAAUUUUCUGCAAUAUGAUAGUCUUAGAACUGCUGUGGUUGAUGUCAAUGAAUGAAUCUGCUGCUGGUUGCAGGAUCCAGUUUUUUCUUUAUUUGCCUUGCACGUCUUAGAGGAAAUAAGGCCGCCUUGUAUGUCUUGAUUGCAACCUGCAAAAGCCCAAAGUUUUUAAUCAAUAAUCUGUUUUUAUCAACUCAGUUUUUCAUAAUAUAAGUUUCUCCAAGCAAAGGUGGAAGUACCUUUUCCGCAAAGGUGGAAUCAAAUCAACCCACGGCAAAGGUGGAAUCAAAUCAACCCACGGCAAAGGUGGAAGUACCUUUUCCGCAAGUCUCCAAUGCCCUUAAACUGUCCAAUUUGUCCAAUAAAGGUAAGAAUAUGUCAAAUUUGGUUCCUACUAAUGUUUUUCCUUUGAAUGUUCCUUUUCCUAGUAGGUUUAUGCAAACAAAGAAGGAGGAAGCUGAAAAGGACAUCCUUGAGACAUUUAGGAAAGUUCAAGUAAACAUACCUUUGUUGGAUGCAAUCAAGCAAGUCCCGAGGUACGCCAAGUUUUUGAAGGAGUUGUGCACCACUAGGAAAAGGAUGUCGACUAAGGAAGUGGUAAAGGUAGGUGAGAAUGUGUCCGCCAUCUUGCAACGCAAACUACCUCCCAAAUGCAAAGAUCCGGGUAGUUUUACCAUUCCUUGCGUCAUUGGUAACA